rnacentral:lncRNA from 1 species
CGUCAAGACUGGAAAUCACAGCCCUUGAGUGUGUCUCAGUCAGCGCAGCAGAAUUCAGGGGGGAAAGCUGAAUGCAACCCCUGGUGCAGGAAGGGAGGCUUUUCCUGAGGACCGGGAGAGGAUUUUAAGUACAUAGAAGGAAGCUUCUGGAGAUCCUGCUCCGUCGCCCCAGUGUUCAGACUACCUGUUCAGGACAAUGCCGUUGUACAGUAGUCUGCACAUUGGUUUUGCACACUAGGGACCAAGAAGCCCUCGGGGACACUGCUGAGAAAAGACUGCCGAAGGGAAGACCAGCGGGAGAUAUACAAAUAUUUUAGGGAUCAUGGAAUCUAUUCCAGAGGAAACUAACCAACAGUGAGCAUCUUCAACUAAAACUACCCCUGGAUGUAAUAAGUGUUGCAUGCAUCAUUCCUUUAAUUGAGCAGAGUUAACUGGAUCAAAUUAUUUAUGGGAGAGAGAGGAAAAGUUAUAAAGAAUUAUAGUAAUUUUUAAUUUCCACCAAUAUACUCUUUGCUGAUUGUAUCUGUCUAUGAGCAAAGGAAACCUGAAGGAACCAAGGGCCUGGCUGGACAGAGUUGUCAUGUGUCUGCCUGUCUACACUUGCUGUGCAGAACAUCCGCUCACCUGUACAGCAGGCACAGACAGGCAGUCACAUGACAACCCAGCCUGAAUGACAACCAGCCAUUGAAAGAAAGCAGCCCUCACACCAUAGCAUCUACACCAAGAGCUACAACCAAAAUGAGGGGCUCGGGGGCCUGGGGUUUUAAUCUGUUGGUUUAAUACUUAACUCAUGUAUUAUUUUAUUUUGAUUCAAGUAUUAAAACCCACCAAAAGUAAAGUGAGUGGUGCCUAUGAAAUAUAAUAAAACCCAUUUCUGAAAAUGUUCCUGUGCAUUCUAUAGUUCUCUUUUCCUAAUUGUUGUCAGCAAAUCACUACCCUUGACCUUUAUUGUACACAG